rnacentral:rRNA from 1 species
AUUGAACGCUUGCGGCAUGCCUUACACAUGCAAGUCGAACGGUAACGGGUCCUUCGGGAUGCCGACGAGUGGCGAACGGGUGAGUAAUAUAUCGGAACGUGCCCAGUAGUGGGGGAUAACUGCUCGAAAGAGCAGCUAAUACCGCAUACGACCUGAGGGUGAAAGGGGGGGAUCGCAAGACCUCUCGCUAUUGGAGCGGCCGAUAUCAGAUUAGCUAGUUGGUGGGGUAAAGGCCUACCAAGGCAACGAUCUGUAGUUGGUCUGAGAGGACGACCAGCCACACUGGGACUGAGACACGGCCCAGACUCCUACGGGAGGCAGCAGUGGGGAAUUUUGGACAAUGGGCGCAAGCCUGAUCCAGCAAUGCCGCGUGCAGGAAGAAGGCCUUCGGGUUGUAAACUGCUUUUGUCAGGGAAGAAAUCUUCUGGGCUAAUACCCCGGGAGGAUGACGGUACCUGAAGAAUAAGCACCGGCUAACUACGUGCCAGCAGCCGCGGUAAUACGUAGGGUGCGAGCGUUAAUCGGAAUUACUGGGCGUAAAAGCGGCGCAGUGCGGCUUUGCAAGACAGAUGUGAAAUCCCCCGGUUCUUUUUGGGAACUGCAUUUGUGACUGCAAGGCUAGAGUUUUGCAGAGGGGGAUGGAAUUCCGCGUGUAGCAGUGAAAUGCGUAUAUAUGCGGAGGAACACCAAUGGCGAAGGCAAUCCCCUGGGCCUGUACUGACGCUCAUGCACGAAAGCGUGGGGAGCAAACAGGAUUAUAUACCCUGGUAGUCCACGCCCUAAACGAUGUCAACUGGUUGUUGGACGGCUUGCUGUUCAGUAACGAAGCUAACGCGUGAAGUUGACCGCCUGGGGAGUACGGCCGCCAGGUUGAAACUCAAAGGAAUUGACGGGGACCCGCACAAGCGGUGGAUGAUGUGGUUUAAUUCGAUGCAACGCGAAAAACCUUACCUACCCUUGACAUGUCAAGAAUUCUGCAGAGAUGUGGAAGUGCUCGAAAGAGAACUUGAACACAGGUGCUGCAUGGCCGUCGUCAGCUCGUGUCGUGAGAUGUUGGGUUAAGUCCCGCAACGAGCGCAACCCUUGUCAUUAGUUGCUACGCAAGAGCACUCUAAUGAGACUGCCGGUGACAAACCGGAGGAAGGUGGGGAUGACGUCAGGUCCUCAUGGCCCUUAUGGGUAGGGCUACACACGUCAUACAAUGGCCGGUACAGAGGGCUGCCAACCCGCGAGGGGGAGCCAAUCCCAGAAAACCGGUCGUAGUCCGGAUCGUAGUCUGCAACUCGACUGCGUGAAGUCGGAAUCGCUAGUAAUCGCGGAUCAGCUUGCCGCGGUGAAUACGUUCCCGGGUCU